AUUGAACGCUGGCGGCAUGCUUUACACAUGCAAGUCGAACGGCAGCGCGGGCUUCGGCCUGGCGGCGAGUGGCGAACGGGUGAGUAAUGCAUCGGAACGUGCCCAGUAGUGGGGGAUAGCCCGGCGAAAGCCGGAUUAAUACCGCAUACGGCCUGAGGGUGAAAGCGGGGGACCGAAAGGCCUCGCGCUAUUGGAGCGGCCGAUGUCGGAUUAGCUAGUUGGUGGGGUAAAGGCUUACCAAGGCGACGAUCCGUAGCUGGUCUGAGAGGACGACCAGCCACACUGGGACUGAGACACGGCCCAGACUCCUACGGGAGGCAGCAGUGGGGAAUUUUGGACAAAGGGGGCAACCCUGAUCCAGCCAUGCCGCGUGCGGGAAGAAGGCCUUCGGGUUGUAAACCGCUUUUGUUCGGGAAGAAAUCCUCUGGGCUAAUACCCCGGGGGGAUGACGGUACCGGAAGAAUAAGCACCGGCUAACUACGUG
rnacentral:rRNA from 1 species